rnacentral:rRNA from 1 species
CCUACGGGGGGCAGCAGUGAGGAAUAUUGGUCAAUGGACGAGAGUCUGAACCAGCCAAGUAGCGUGAAGGAUGACUGCCCUAUGGGUUGUAAACUUCUUUUAUAUGGGAAUAAAACGUUCCACGUGUGGGAUUUUGUAUGUACCAUAUGAAUAAGGAUCGGCUAACUCCGUGCCAGCAGCCGCGGUAAUACGGAGGAUCCGAGCGUUAUCCGGAUUUAUUGGGUUUAAAGGGAGCGUAGGUGGAUGGUUAAGUCAGUUGUGAAAGUUUGCGGCUCAACCGUAAAAUUGCAGUUGAAACUGGCAGUCUGGAGUACAGUAGAGGUAGGCGGAAUUCGUGGUGUAGCGGUGAAAUGCUUAGAUAUCACGAAGAACCCCGAUUGCGAAGGCAGCUUACUAAACUGUGACUGACGUUGAUGCUCGAAAGUGUGGGUAUCAAACAGGAUUAGAUACCCCUGUAGUC